rnacentral:lncRNA from 1 species
AUGCAUGUUGCCCUGCACACCACCAAGGAGGGAGUGGGAGAUUAAACAAGAAAUCAUCCUGAGGAGUGCCUGCAGGACAGAUUCUGGGACCCCAGAAGGAGCCCCAGUGAAGAGAGGGCGGAACCCUAGAGGAUGA